rnacentral:pre_miRNA from 1 species
UCUUAUGGAUGAGCAAAGAAAGUGGUUUCUUGAGAUGGCAUCUACUCUCGGUAAAGAUACUACGAC